rnacentral:rRNA from 1 species
AUGCACGCUGGCGGCGUGCCUCAUCCCUGCCAGUCGCGCGAACAGACGAGGAGCUUGCUCCUCUGACGUUAGCGGCGGACGGGUGAGUAACACGUGGAUAACCUACCUAUAAGACUGGGAUAACUUCGGGAAACCGGAGCUAAUACCGGAUAAUAUAUUGAACCGCAUGGUUCAAUAGUGAAAGACGGGUUUGCUGUCACGUAUAGAUGGAUCCGCGCCGCAUUAGCUAGUUGGUAAGGUAACGGCUUACCAAGGCAACGAUGCGUAGCCGACCUGAGAGGGUGAUCGGCCACACUGGAACUGAGACACGGUCCAGACUCCUACGGGAGGCAGCAGUAGGGAAUCUUCCGCAAUGGGCGAAAGCCUGACGGAGCAACGCCGCGUGAGUGAUGAAGGUCUUCGGAUCGUAAAACUCUGUUAUUAGGGAAGAACAAAUGUGUAAGUAACUAUGCACGUCUUGACGGUACCUAAUCAGAAAGCCACGGCUAACUACGUG